AAUAAAAUUGAUCUCUGUGAAAUUUUUGCCUAGAGAAAAAUAGUCAACUUGGAGCAGAAUAAAUAGAAAACAAAACUAUCAUGAAGUGUUUUGCCUUUCAUAUGUGACUUUGAGGCAAAUUUAAAACACUCUAGUUUACAUUUUUGUGAUUUCCUGAAAACCCUAAUACAUUCUAUUUUGAAUUUUAUGAAAUUGUUAUUAUGAAAUAUACUUAUUGUAGCUCUUUCGUUUGUACCCCAAAUAAAGCCUCAGAUCAUUUGUUUGACACACAGAAACAUACUGUGGGGACUCUGGACACCUUUGUGCAGUGAGUUUUGAUUUUUUUUGUCCUUUGAAUAUCGUUUUUGGUUUUUCUCAGCUGGUCCCUUGAAGAUGGAGCAGUUCAUGUGAAAGUUGAAACUUUUCACCACUUUUUAUAUAUCCACUAACAUUUGGCACCUUUCUAUACAAUGGCUAGGCUGUUUCAUGUUCCUCUAAAUAUUUACUUGAUCUCAUCUUCAUUUUAAUGUGCUCUGCAGGAACAGCUUGCUUUUAGAAUUUCUUUGUUUAGCAGAUUAGAAAACUAGAAUUUCCAGCUUUCCAGAUAUUUAAUUUGGAAGCCUUCAUGUUUGCCAUUUCAUUAUCUCUCUUCCAUUUUUUUUUGCAUAAGGUAGUACAGGGUCAUUAUUAUGUCUGUCUUACCUAUCUUAAUCAUUUUCUUUGUUAUUUCAAUAAUUUAUUGGUUUUAUUCAGAGAAUUGCCUCACUGGUAUGUUUUUCUCUUACAGACUUUCCCAAUAUUGAUUUCUGCUUGAGUCAAUCUAGAUAGAAAUUCCUACUUAUUUUUGUAUUAAGCUGCAGUAACACAAGCUUAUUGAAAUCUGUUUUAUCUACAGUGGCUUGAUUAUUUUGAAAUUGUAGACUCUAGUAUGUCGAACCACUGAAAUCUUUGUAAGAGAAAGAAGGCAAUCAUUUUCCCUUUCUGAAAUUUGGUUUACUGAAUCAGUGUUUUAUGUCAGGUUUCAUGAAGAUCAAACAAAAUUUGAUAAAUCAUCUUGGCAUAAUUACUUGUUUUAAUGAUUCAUAAAAAUAGAGAAUACUAUUAAGAAUACUACUACAGAUUUUAAGGGAAGACUACAGAACUCUUCUUAUUUUAUUAUGGUGAAAUUACUGUGAGCACGGAAGAAAUUCAAAGCGUUUGAAGGCCUGACUUUAGGGUUGAGGUUCAGUUCCCUUCUAGCUGAGGUUUUAUAUUUUAAAUUAGUCAUCCUUUAUUUAUUUAUUUAGUAUUUCUAGCAAAAAAAGUUUUAUGCUUGGAGCAAAUACCCCAAACACCUAAGCAGCAUUCCCAUUUGUUUCUCUUCUAGUCCUUACGGCAUUUACUUCCUUGAAGCUUUGUGCUUUCUUUUCUUUAUUAAUAAAUACUUUAAAAAUACAUUCUUUGCAGCUAUAAUUCAACAUAAGAAACAUAAGGAACUGGGGAUAGUAGGUCUUCUUUGAAUACCUGUUUUUCUAAAUUUGUGCGUUUUAUUUUUAUUCUCAAACUUCUUUUUAACAUAGUUAGAAAUUUAUGUAUUCACAUUAUAUUGUUCAUUUUUCUUUUUACAAUCAUUUUCUACUUUUUUGUAGAAAAGAUGGGAAAUAUUUUGCAAUUUAUUGAAAGCACAACAAAAACUAUGAAAUGGUGGCAUCAAGAAGAGGGCAAAUACCAGUGGAAAAUAUAAACAAAAUUUGAAACAAGCUGCAAAUACACAGUGUUAAUACCUGCAGGAACAGGAUGCCGUCUAGGGGACUUCCUAGAGAUGAGCCCACACUGAGCCCUUAGUAACCACACAUGACAAUAGAGAAUUAUGGUGAUUUUCAUGAUUCAUAUGUACAUGGAAUAUCACAACACACCUGUGGUACUGAGUGCAUGGAGAAUUGAGCAUAUUUAAUACUACCAUGACUUUUAAGUGCAGGGUUAUGUUUCUGAGCUUUUUUCUAACAAUGCUUAUUAAUUUAUUAUAAUGGAAUAUUUAAAAAGACCCAUAUCUACAAAUUUAGUUCUUUGAAACAUCAAGGCAUUCUAAUAUAUUGUAAUAUUAUCUUAUUACUUGACCAAAUCAUAGGAAAAACUUAAGAUUAUUCAGCCACUUGUCCAUAAGGACAGAAGUAUCUCUUGGGUGUUUUUGGAAGUAAUUGGCAUGGCAGUUUUAUGUUCUUAUUUUGUUUAAAGUUCAAAAUAAGAAUGCAAAAAAGCUUUACCAAAGUCACUAUGGACUGAGCGUGGUGCCCUCGUGGGUGCCUUUGUUAUAAAUAUUCAGAAGUCCUAAAUGUGUUCUUAUUAGC
ensembl:lncRNA